UGUUCCAAAUCAGUCUCAAGAUCUUCCAAAUAACCAAAAAUAACCAAUAGAACCCAUCUGAUGAGGGGCUAGUGCUAGAACUAGCCCUUCUUUGCUCAGGAAUGCUAGGCAGUGCUUCAGGAUCAGAGGUUUUCCGGGUACAAGCUAGGAGAAGAGACAUUAGAGAAGCACCAUCACCAAUGGAAUGGUGAAUCCUGAAGACCCCAAUAGCUUCUGCAUCUGAUGUUUUCAGGUUGAGGAGAUGAACUUCCCAUAAUGG
rnacentral:misc_RNA from 1 species